rnacentral:rRNA from 1 species
UACGAAGGGGGCUAGCGUUGCUCGGAAUGACUGGGCGUAAAGGGCGCGUAGGCGGAUGGCUUUGUCGGGCGUGAAAUUCCAGGGCUCAACCUUGGGGCUGCGUUCGAGACGGGCGAUCUUGAGUUCGGAAGAGGGUCGUGGAAUUCCCAGUGUAGAGGUGAAAUUCGUAGAUAUUGGGAAGAACACCGGUGGCGAAGGCG